rnacentral:rRNA from 1 species
CAGUCGCCACGGGAAUACGUUGGGUGCGAGCGUUAAUCGGAAUUACUGGGCGUAAAGCGUGCGCAGGCGGUUGUGUAAGACAGGUGUGAAAUCCCCGGGCUUAACCUGGGAACUGCGCUUGUGACUGCACAGCUAGAGUAUGGCAGAGGGGGGUGGAAUUCCACGUGUAGCAGUGAAAUGCAUAGAGAUGUGGAGGAACACCGAUGGCGAAGGCAGCCCCCUGGGCCAAUACUGACGCUCAUGCACGAAAGCGUGGGGAGCAAACAGGAUUAGAUACCCGCGUAGUCCCUGUCUCUUAUAC